AUUGAACGCUGGCGGCAUGCCUUACACAUGCAAGUCGAACGGCAGCACGGGUGCUUGCACCUGGUGGCGAGUGGCGAACGGGUGAGUAAUACAUCGGAACGUACCUUAUCGUGGGGGAUAACGCAGCGAAAGCUGUGCUAAUACCGCAUACGCACUGAGGGGGAAAGCGGGGGAUCGAAAGACCUCGCGCGAUUAGAGCGGCCGAUGCCUGAUUAGCUUGUUGGUGGGGUAAAAGCCCACCAAGGCGACGAUCAGUAGCUGGUCUGAGAGGACGAUCAGCCACACUGGGACUGAGACACGGCCCAGACUCCUACGGGAGGCAGCAGUGGGGAAUUUUGGACAAUGGGGGCAACCCUGAUCCAGCAAUGCCGCGUGAGUGAAGAAGGCCUUCGGGUUGUAAAGCUCUUUUGUCAGGGAAGAAACACCGGCUCUAACACAGUCCGGGAAUGACGGUACCUGAAGAAUGAGCACCGGCUAACUACGUGCCAGCAGCCGCAGUAA
rnacentral:rRNA from 1 species